CGUUCAAAACUCACGUGUGAGUGCGGGGAAAAAGCUGAAAAAUUCCUUAAAGAGAAAAAAGAAGAUGAAAAUGGUAGCCAGGGCUGUGACAUCGAAGCUGGAAGAUGAGGGCAAAGACGCUUCCGACAGUGAAGGUAAUGUAUUAAGGCUGAGCUUCGGCGUCUGAGAGGAAACACUAGGCUCAGUUCCCGGGAAGCCCGAUGUCAGUGUGCUUGGUGGAAGCCGC
rnacentral:lncRNA from 1 species